rnacentral:rRNA from 1 species
UACGAAGGGGGCUAGCGUUGCUCGGAAUCACUGGGCGUAAAGGGUGCGUAGGCGGGUCUUUAAGUCAGGGGUGAAAUCCUGGAGCUCAACUCCAGAACUGCCUUUGAUACUGAGGAUCUUGAGUUCGGGAGAGGUGAGUGGAACUGCGAGUGUAGAGGUGAAAUUCGUAGAUAUUCGCAAGAACACCAGUGGCGAAGGCGGCAUCUGGUGCCGGAACUGACGCUGAGGAGCGAAAGCGUGGGGAGCGAACAGG